AGUGGCGGUGGCGGUAGCUUGCUGCAUGGAGGCUCGGCCUUCGCGACAGCGAGCGCAAUAGCAACGCAACCUUCGCGGCGACCUGCAUGGUCUUGCUGCAACAGAUCGGCCUGCUACAUGGACGGGCGAUGGCCUACUGCAUCGAUGGUGCGACCUUCCCCAACGGCGGCAUGCAGCCCUAUCAUGGGCCCCACCAGUAGACACGACUCGUUUCUUCUCAACGGGAAAGUUACGAUUUCUUACUGCAUCGAUUAACGAGUAGACCUGGUUUCUUGGUUAGGAGACGGUUUCCUCAAUUUUUUUUCUCUUUUUUUAUUAAUUAGACUGCCAUGUCAGCUUUUUGCUUAGUUGGCAAGAUAUUUAUUAGGGAUAGAAACUACUAUUAAUAUCCCAUUGUCCCAUUGGGACUGCCCUAAGGGACACAGAAUGCAGAAUGGCGCACUAGUACUACUUUCACUGCUGGUCCUUGGGUGCUUUUCCAUUCAAGUGGCAUGUAAGUGAAAUAAAUCAAAAUGUUUUUUCCUCCAUUAUCUCCUCAUUUAAUUGCUCGAGUAGCUGAUAUUUUUCCUCUACCAUUCAAACAAAAUACAAAUUGCUGAAGACAUAUAUGUUUCUUUCUGUUGUAAUUAAGAUAAACUAAACAAGGGCCCAUUAUAACUAUUGAUUUUAUGCUUAUGACAGAUGUUUCUGUGCUUGUGUAUGUAAUUUAACAGAUUGAUUCACAUUACAUGCUUGAAAAAUAGGUGGAACAACGAUGGAUGAAAUGAGUACCCAGAAAGUUACUAUACAAAAAUGGACGUGCUACCAUGGUGGCAUACUUUGCAAUUCAUUGACUGGGAAGUGCUGGUGCUGCCUCGGGGGUGAAGGUUAUUGCUAUGUGAACAAAAGUGAAUGUGAAGCAAAUUGUCAUGCCAAAUGAACAAUUAAAUCUCCAAAUAAUGCAAUUACUAUGUGAAGAGUGAGCUGUGAAUGAACAAUGGGAAUAAAAUGUUUAGGCUCCGAGUGC
rnacentral:lncRNA from 1 species